rnacentral:rRNA from 1 species
GAUGAACGCUGGCGGCGUGCCUAAUACAUGCAAGUCGAGCGAACAGACGAGGAGCUUGCUCCUCUGACGUUAGCGGCGGACGGGUGAGUAACACGUGGAUAACCUACCUAUAAGACUGGGAUAACUUCGGGAAACCGGAGCUAAUACCGGAUAAUAUAUUGAACCGCAUGGUUCAAUAGUGAAAGACGGUUUUGCUGUCACUUAUAGAUGGAUCCGCGCCGCAUUAGCUAGUUGGUAAGGUAACGGCUUACCAAGGCGACGAUGCGUAGCCGACCUGAGAGGGUGAUCGGCCACACUGGAACUGAGACACGGUCCAGACUCCUACGGGAGGCAGCAGUAGGGAAUCUUCCGCAAUGGGCGAAAGCCUGACGGAGCAACGCCGCGUGAGUGAUGAAGGUCUUCGGUUCGUAAAACUCUGUUAUUAGGGAAGAACAAAUGUGUAAGUAACUAUGCACGUCUUGACGGUACCUAAUCAGAAAGCCCCGGCUAACUACGU